UACGUAGGGGGCAAGCGUUGUCCGGAAUUAUUGGGCGUAAAGAGCGUGUAGGCGGCCGGGUAAGUCCGGUGUGAAAACUCGAGGCUUAACCUCGAGAUGUCAUCGGAAACCAUCUGGCUAGAGUCCGGAAGAGGAGAGUGGAAUUCCUGGUGUAGCGGUGAAAUGCGCAGAUAUCAGGAAGAACACCAAUGGCGAAAGCAGCUCUCUGGGACGGUACUGACGCUGAGACGCGAAAGCGUGGGGAGCGAACAGG
rnacentral:rRNA from 1 species